rnacentral:lncRNA from 1 species
UGUCACCAUCGGCAGAUGAGACUCUGUUUCUGCUUUCCCAAGGUGCCAUAGCUAGGGAGGGGCACAGGUGGGACUGGAAUCCAGGUCUGUGUGUCCCUAAGGCCCGUGGUCUUACUACUCUCCUGCAUAAUUAAGGUUGAAGAAUUGACAAAGAACUGAGACAGAUAACUAAGAAUACGGUUAUACUGACUAUAACCCGAAAUGGAUAUGGAUCCUCAUUCAGACAGUCAUCCCCAUUUAUAAUUUGUUGACUUGUAUGAGUUGAUAAAAUAGCAAACAUUUGACAGCAGUGUGUAUUUCCAUGUUGAAAAUUGUUCUCAGGAAAGUCUUUGUUCUCUGCCUUUUGUAUUAAUUGGCCCUGGGAUGGUGAAGUGCAGAUUCAUCUAAGGCCUUCAGAUGGACGACCUAGUUUUGGCUCUAGAAUUGCCAAGCAUCCUCUCACCCACCCUCGUCUUCAUAGUACAAAGAAAUUUACCGUUUAUAUGUUUAGACCCGUGCAUCCCACAACAUGGGAUGUGUUCUGUUAGCGGUAUUCAAAUCCAUCGUAUGUGGCACUGUGUUCAUUACCUAAUGUGCAUAAAUUACACCUUAGACUUAGUGGCUUCAAACAGUGGAUGUGUAUCAUCUCAGUUUCUGUGGGUCAGGGAUCUAGAAGCAGCUUAACUGAGUGUUCUGAUCCAGGGUCUCUCUUGAACCUCAUUUUCUAAAUUUUUCUCAGUGAACAUGUAUUACUUUAAUUAGAAAAGAUAACGAAAGUUAUCCAUUCAUUCUGCAUUUGAGCUGGUGGCUAGAGCUGUGGUCUCAUCCGAAGGCUCAUCCGAGGGGAAGAUCCACUUGCCAGCUCGCUCACAGGGUUGUCAGCAAGCCUUUGGUUUCUCACAGGCUGUUGGACUGAAGGCCGUGGUUCCUUGCUGGUGUUGAGCUGGAGGCCUUUUUUGGUUCUUCACCAUAGGGCAGCUCAAAAUAUGGUAGGUGGAUUCCCCCAGAAUCAGUGAUCCAAGAAGGAGAACUGUAGGAAAAGGAGCACCAAAAAUGGGAGCUGUGGUCCUUGUGAAACUGAACUUCGGGCAUAAAAUACCAUCACUUCUGCCAUAUUCCGUUCAUUUACGUGAGGCGCUAAAUCCAGCUCACCCUUAAGGGAAGGAAUUUGUAGAAGCGAAUGACUAGUCCCGUCCAGAAGAGAGGCAAACCAGUGCUCAGCCCCUUUGCUGCAAGUAUUGCCGAGCAUGAUUUGGCCCUGGGGAGAUGGUGCUGGAAUCUAGGAAAGUGAAUUUCACGCUUAUUUUUAAAACUGGCCAGAUUUACAUUCCUUCAUACUUCCGAAAGGCCCCCACCCCCAAGAACAGUUUUCUAUAAUUGGUGCGCGGAGAGAGACACUUUGAAGGAGUGGUCUGAUUCCCCCUUUCCCUCUCGUUUCUUUAUCUGGAUAACUGCUGUGUGAAAAGUAGGGUGUUGGUCUUGUUGGACCUGGUGACAUUUUUUUCCAGGGCGACACUCCAAGAGAGAUACAAUUCCAAGUGUUGCAAUGUGGACAAGGGUGCAUGCCAAGCAGAUGUGGGUGACAUUGGCUUAACGUGGGACCGUUUCCUGGAGCGGUCCCAACACACAUUUGGUACAGAUAAAGAUCACUUGUCCCCAGAUGCCUUCUUGAUUUCCUUCAAGCCAAAUGUGAUUGGAGACAGAGGAUGUUGGGCUUGAAAAGUGUGUAUCUGUGGCCAUGUGUGGGGGCUCAGCCCAGGGAAAUGCCAGUAAAGUGGGAAGCAGGCAGCUUGUACCCCGCAUAGGCCCAGAUGGUCCCGGCCGUCUUGCCUUCCUGAGAUGUUGGGAUUUUGGCAAGCAUUUUUUUUUUUUUUUUUUUUAAUCCUUGACAUCAUCUUUGGUGUAGUUUGUGGCACAGUGUUGUAAAUGUGACCCAGGGACUGAGUCACAUGACCGGUAGUCCCAUGACCUGCAUUCAGGGCCUGGCUUCACUGGGUUUGCCUCUCUGUAAAAUGGGACCUGUAAUACUUGCCUGUCAGAGAAGGGUCUUAUGCGGAUUAAAUGAGAUAGUGCAGUGGGAUCGUUGAGCCUGGGUCUGGCAACCAGGAUGUACACAAAAGAGCCAGUUAUCGUUAUUGUUGUUAUUCUGAUCAGCCGUCUCACGUGGCCUUCUAGACCGUUCUCUCUGGGAAGCACAAGCGUUAGAAAGAGAAGGGAGUAUGUCUUCAUUUCCCCGUGUGACCUGAGCAGUUAUAUAAAACCCCAUGCUCCUAUAUUAUGAGCUUAACAGAAAUGCUAAUUUUACAAAGAGGCAAGCGCCAGUGGAGACUUAAAUUGUGCUUCUGAGCUGUUACGUAAUUCUUCAGCACAUCUCAUUUAAUCAUAGUAUAUUGAGGCCAUGCCUUAGUUCUGUUGUCAUUUGAAUAGAUGCCUUUCUGGAUUCUUACCUCUAACUCCAACAAAUUCCUCAGGGUACCUUUCUGCUUUCCAUUUUUAUAGAAUGACCUUGUUCCCAGCCCAUAGCUUAAAAGCUGGGAGUGAUUGCAGUAGCUUUAAAUAAGGUGAUCAAAUGCAGUUGAGCAGGCCUUGGCUGAGCCCCUAGUAUGUGCCAGCUGCCAUGUCUCUAGGCUGGUGAUACCAAUGUCAGAGCCACGGUGAACUUUCUGAAAGUACCUGCCCACCUUUAGUUGGCCGUAAAUGAAGUCCUAUGUUUCAUGCUUGCUUUGGUACCUAAGCAUCAUGCGCAGCUUCUGUCCCCAGCCACUCACAGGCAAGUGAGACAGGAAGAAAAAGAAGCAGAUGAGAGAUUUGAGAAGAUGAAGCCCUGGAGAGAGGGUGCUGGGUGUUUGAUACUCUGGAUUCCCUCUGGCCACGUGUUGGUCUUAUCUGGAGAAGCCAUGCUGUCUCGGCUGUGCCAUUGGUUGUUGGCCACCAACUCUCUCCCCUGGCCCCACAUCUGCUGUCUGCGUGUCCCUCCCCAGACCAUCAUCUCUGGCGGGCGGGCGUGCUCUGUGCGGCUCCUGCCUGGACGUCAGCCCCUCGCCUAGAGCCUGGUGUAAGGCAGGAACUUGGCAAAUAUUUUUUGGAAUGGGUCCAUGACAGUUCCCGACAUUUUCUUUUUCCUCAUCAGGAACAGUUUACCUGCACAGGCUCUGAGGCCAAACUUAGAUGUAACCAAAGGCGCAGCUGCCAUCCGACAGAGGCAGCCUGAAAUAGCCCCUGGGCCCCUCGUCAUGGGUAUUUCUUCAUUUACUGCAGCUGCCGUUGCAUUUUCGUAAAGCUUGCUUGUGUGAUAGAAUGAAGUGACAAGGGACUGGGCUGCCAGGCUCCGUGGAUGGGGGGGUGCUGCCUGGGGAAGAGAGGGUCCCAGAGGGUCAGGUGGUGCUCCUUUAGCUUCUCCUGGCUUUCUGAGGUGGUCCCAUCACCAACCACCUCCCUCGCCUUUCUGCUCUUGAGCCAACUGAUGUGAAAAUCAGUGUGAUCGGACAGCUCUGCCUGUGCUUCCAGCAUGGGUCCUGGGAGGAUGGAAAGGGCCCCUCACCCAGUAAUGCUUCAGCCUGGUGGACCCCCGUGUGUCACAUGCCACGCUGGACCCCUGAGCUGCCUACUCCAGGGGCCUCUUAGCGGUGUCCCUGCCUGGCCACCUGUAAGGUAAAUGGCCUGUCCAGCCCCCCGGAGGGCCGGCUAGGAAAGGAAACCAGCGUAUGUGCAUCGGAUGCAAGGUCUGGCAGCCUGGGUACCCACGCACUGGGCACCGUCUCAGCAUCCCUCUUAGUUACGAGUGCGGGCACGUCGUGGGGGCUGCUCAUUCCAUUUUCUCCCUCAGGGUUAAAGAGAGGAGCCGGCUCGCUCAGGCUUCCUAACCCAGAUCUCUUCUUUCCCCAUUUUUUCCCUCUAGCUCACUUUUCUUUGUGAUUCUUUUGUUCCAGAAAUUACAAGUAAUGUGCCUUUCUUGUAGGAAAUUGAAGAAAUACCAAAUCAGCUUCGUAUCGUUUCCACCCCUUCCCUGGCUAUGGCCAGAAGAAAGAGGGAUGUGGGGUGGGGUGGGGUGGGGUGGUUCUUGGAAGGGAACCCCCUAAUUCACCAGAGGGUGAUGACGCCCGGUCGCCAAGGCUGGAACAGGGCUUGUUCUCGGCUGUACUGAAAGGAUUUUUCCUAAAACUUCACUUGACAUUGAUGAUGAUGGAGAUAAUCUGCAAGGAGGAAGAGGAGAGAGUUUCUGAGCCAGAGCAGGUCAUUCCGGGGCUGUCCACUUAAAUAAAGCCCUGGCUUAGAAAACCCCAAACACGCUAAAGUGGAUACUGUAAUGGGAUUUAUGCAAUACUCUGUUAAGGGCAAACCCAGCCCCAUAAAUACAUGUCUGAAAUUCAAUCUGCCAAAUGAAACGUUAAAGGCGCCAAAUGGAUUUCUCGAAAGGAUCAGAGCUACGAUGUAGUUUGCCUGCACUUGAUAAGCUUAUCCAGCCUUGCCGCCAGGAAAGAAAAAGAGCGAGCGAGAGAGAGAGACAGAGCGCGCGGGGGUGGGAGGAGGAAAUGGAGUUAAGGAUUUUACUGUAUUCUCCAGUAUCUUAGAUAUUUUCUUUUUCAAUGAAAAAGGGAGAAAGAGAUGAUCAGACUUCUGGCUGUGAAACCAGUGUUCCUGAUCCUGACUACAUCCUGGGCUGCAGAGGGACUGCUAUUAAAUCUCUAGCUGGAGCCCCAGGUCCAUCCCUCCAGCCCCAAAGCCUCCUCGACAGGGCUCCUUCCAUACCUGGUCAGCUCCGAUACCUGGGCCCCGCACCCAGGUGACCCACAUCAUGUCACGGCUGGACAGGCACGUGGGCCAGCUCGAGUCCCCAUCCCCAUCCCCAAGUUCCGCCUUUGACUUCAGCAGCUGCCACCAAGUGUAUUUGUGAGUGACGAAGUGAGUUAGGUGGAGAAAAGUAGUUAAGACUGUGCAUCAUUCUAGACACUUCCUUCUGGCCCCUCCCCCUUCUCAUGUUUUAUGAUUGUCCCUCCUCCACUAGGGAUAUACCAUCUCCUGCAAGGGGUUUGGAUUGUCCUAUUUUUUCCAAAGGAGGGGAUAGUGUAAUAGCUCAGGAUCUCGAAAGAUGUUUCUGGUACUGUCGGAGGCGCGCCAAAGCUAUGUGGCCCAUGAGAGCUUUUCACGUUCUUCUAAGCCCAGGAGAGUUGCUUCUGGCAUCGGCAUGUGACCCCAGAGAGUCACUUUCAGGGUGACAGCGUGCUUCAAAGAACAUGCCAUCUUGGUGGGUACGUGAGUCAGUGAGUGUUGUGAGGGGGUGAAUUUGCUCUCAGCAUGGCAAGUUUCCUCUUCCUCUUCGAUUUCCCGCGGAUGGACUCGCCUUCGCCACAUGCUCUCACUCUCCAUUCCGCUUGGGCCAAGGCCUUGGCGAGCCCGGUGGCCUGGGGUUGGGGUGGAGCUCGCGGCUGUGGGUCGUGGAGGCAUCUUCCGAGGCAUCGCCCUGCUGGGCCCGGAUGAUGCUCUGACCACAGAUGAAUUCGGUCCUUGGUGGACAAUCGAGGACCUGCUCCUGCCGGUUUACUCCCCUCCCUUGGCGAGUCACUUGGCGCGUCCCUUCUGGGGUAUUUGUCUCGGUCAGAGGCCUGGCUGCAGCCUCGGCUGGAAUAACCAAAGGGUCUGUUGAGUCUGUUGCAGUUGAUGGGGUGCCUGAGUCCUUUAAGAACCAGAGAGUGAGGAGUUCCCGUCGUGGCGCAGUGGUUAACGAAUCUGACUAGGAACCAUGAGGUUGCGGGUUCGGUCCCUGCCCUUGCUCAGUGGGUUAAGGAUCCGGCGUUGCUGUGAGCUGUGGUGUAGGUUGCAGACGCGGCUCGGAUCCCGCGUUGCUGUGGCUCUGGGGUAGGCCCGUGGCUACAGCUCCGAUUCGACCUCUACCCUGGGAACCUCCAUAUGCCGCGGGAGCGGCCCAA